GUUCUGUCCUGGGACUGCUUAUAAAAAGCCAGCAAGAUCCAGGCAAUUAUAACUUGAGCAUCCAUCAGUGCUGCAGGUUUGGACUCUGUUUAUGGGGGCCAUGGGUUCACUGGAAUUGUGGAUUUAUUAACCUGCUCUGUGUGGGUUUGUGGAUGAAUCCUGCUGCGGUUUUAUCAGCUGAGAGUGGGUGGAUGAUGAUUCAUACCCGAGCACAGUGAUGUUGAAAUACAAUGUGAACAACAGCAAUUUCAUGGCAAGAUUAGAUAGACUGAGAUGUCAAACAGAAAGU